rnacentral:rRNA from 1 species
CACGUAGGGCGCGAGCGUUGUCCGGAAUUACUGGGCGUAAAGGGCUCGUAGGCGGCCAACUAAGUCGGACGUGAAAUCCCUCAGCUUAACUGGGGAACUGCGUCCGAUACUGGAUGGCUUGGAUUUGGGAGAGGGAUGCGGAAUUCCAGGUGUAGCGGUGAAAUGCGUAGAUAUCUGGAGGAACACCGGUGGCGAAGGCGGCAUCCUGGACCAAUAUUGACGCUGAGGAGCGAAAGCCAGGGGAGCAAACGGG